rnacentral:rRNA from 1 species
UACGGAGGGGGCUAGCGUUGUCCGGAAUUACUGGGCGUAAAGCGCGUGUAGGCGGAUGGGCAAGUCUGCUGUGAAAGCUCCUGGCUUAACCGGGAGUGGUCGGUGGAAACUGCCAAUCUGGAGGACGGUAGAGGUAGGUAGAAUUCCCGGUGUAGUGGUGAAAUGCGUAGAGAUCGGGAGGAAUACCUGUGGCGAAGGCGGCCUACUGGGCCGGACCUGACGCUGAGACGCGAAGGCGUGGGGAGCGAACGGG